ACCUGGCUGGCUCAGUGGGUAGAGCAUAUGACUUUGAAUCUUGAGGUCAUGAGUUCGAGCCCCAUGUUGGGUG